rnacentral:rRNA from 1 species
UUUAAAUGUAAAAUAAAUAUACUAAAGUAGUAUUAGUUAUGUUCUUGAAAUUUAAAGAUUUUGGCGGUAUUUUAGUCUAUUUAGAGGAGCCUGUUCUGUGAUUGAUAAUCCACGAUUAAUUUUACUUAAUUUAUAUAAAUUUGUAUACCGUCGUUAUAAGAAGAUUUUAAAAGAAUAUAAAUUUUUAAUAUUUUAUAUAAAAAAAUAUAUCAGAUCAAGGUGCAGUUUAUAGUUAAGAAGAAAUGGGCUACAAUAAAUAUAUUUAUAUGGAUUAAAGUAAGAAUUUGACUUUAUGAAAGUGGAUUUAAUAGUAAUAAAAUUAAUUUAAAUUUUAUGAUUUUAGCUCUAAAAUAUG